rnacentral:lncRNA from 1 species
UUUAACACAAGGAGGUACUCAACUCAAGGCUAACCUAAUACAUCACCAUCCAAAAUAUAGGUUGCCAAGGAGUAAAGCAAAAGAGGCCUACUCAAGUCCAACAAUACAGCUAAAAGUCAUCCAAGUUGCCCACGGAGACAACGCUAAGCACCAGAAAAGGAGCGUUGCCAACUUGAGGCUGUGGUGGAGCGCCCUUAAAGUUCAUGCUCGAGACACCCAUGAUCUCCUCAGAGACCUCCUCCUCCUCCUCCAUCG